rnacentral:rRNA from 1 species
GAAAGCCUGAUCCAGCAAUGCCGCGUGAGUGAAGAAGGCCUUCGGGUUGUAAAGCUCUUUUGUCAGGGAAGAAACGGUGAGGGCUAAUAUCCCUUGCUAAUGACGGUACCUGAAGAAUAAGCACCGGCUAACUACGUGCCAGCAGCCGCGGUAAUACGUAGGGUGCAAGCGUUAAUCGGAAUUACUGGGCGUAAAGCGUGCGCAGGCGGUUUUGUAAGUCUGAUGUGAAAUCCCCGGGCUCAACCUGGGAAUUGCAUUGGAGACUGCAAGGCUAGAAUCUGGCAGAGGGGGGUAGAAUUCCACGUGUAGCAGUGAAAUGCGUAGAUAUGUGGAGGAACACCGAUGGCGAAGGCAGCCCCCUGGGUCAAGAUUGACGCUCAUGCACGAAAGCGUGGGGAGCAAACAGGAUUAGAUACCCUGGUAGUCCACGCCCUAAACGAUGUCUACUAGUUGUCGGGUCUUAAUUGACUUGGUAACGCAGCUAACGCGUGAAGUAGACCGCCUGGGGAGUACGGUCGCAAGAUUAAAACUCAAAGGAAUUGACGGGGACCGCACAAGCGGUGGAUGAUGUGGAUUAAUUCGAUGCAACGCGAAAAACCUUACUACCUUGACAUGGCUGGAAUCCCUGAGAGAUUGGGGAGUGCUCGAAAGAAACAGUACACAGGUGCUGAUG